AAUAAGUGUAUUUUUGCACUGUUCAUAUACAACAUUUGACCGUUCGCUUUAUUUAAAAGUUUUUAUGAUUAAUAUUUUUAUUGUCAUUAAAUGAUAAUACAUGAAUAAUAUUUUAUGUGUGACUAAUAUUUUUCAAAUAAAACAGACGCUUAAACGUUAAACACGGAUAGU
rnacentral:pre_miRNA from 1 species